GGAUGGAUGGAUUUAAUAUGUCACUGGACAGAAAUGGAUACAAUCUCAGAUGUAAAAUACAUUUAUUUUGAUUAACCAAGCAGUGAUGGUCAGCUCUGUCAGCCUGUUCAGGAUGUACCCCACGUCAGCACCUGUUUGUUUUCAGCUUCUCCAAAACAUUACUGUAAAAUAAAUCUUUUUGUAUUGAAACUCUAAUUGGCAAACAGAAGACAUCUGAACAUGAUCCUUAUCAUUAUCAGUCACAAUUAAACUGUUUUUAGUAGCUAGAAGUUUUGUCUCCUGUUUAGUGGAUUCUAAAAUAAUAAAAUCUAUUCUGUUUCAAUGUUAUUUAUGUAGCACAAAAUCACAACACUCACCUGAAGGUGCUUUAUAUUGUAAGGUAAAGAUGCAACAAUAACAGAUCAAAUUAUUACCUCAAUCCCAGUGUUUUUUUUAAUAAUAUUAACAAAAUGUCCGUUUUUAUAAAUAGUACAGGUAUAAUGUGGUCUGACACUAUAUUUUGGGUUUUGUUGCAGACAGUGUUUUUCUUCACUGUAGAUUCUUGAACACUUGAGUUUUUGGACACUUUGUGCUGAAGAGGCAGCUGAAACAUCUGGUACUGUUGUGGUGAUGCUCCAGAGGGUGCACACAGCACUGAGGAGCCUGUGGAAAAAUCAAGAACUGAGACCGACAGCUGUAGAUGUGGAUCUGCCGUGCUCAUUUCAACGACAAGCAGAAGAAUGCAAUGAAGAAAUGGUGUGAGUGGCGUCAGUGCUGCCAGCUGUGGUCACACAUGUGGUUUCAA